CCCACGACCCUCCACCUCACUUAUAAAUUAGGAAGCUGAUACAGUAGCUAUCGACUACGACCAGAUUGCAGAUGACGUCCCCGGGAUUCAGGAAUCCGUCGCCGAGGAGAGGGCCGCCCUAAUUUCUGAGAAGGGGAAGAACUUCGAUCGAAGUUCGUUGGAGGUUAAUGAACCGGGUGAGGACCGGGCUAAAUCCAAGCGGUUUAGAC
rnacentral:lncRNA from 1 species